GUGGGGAAUAUUGCACAAUGGGCGCAAGCCUGAUGCAGCCAUGCCGCGUGUGUGAAGAAGGCCUUCGGGUUGUAAAGCACUUUCAGCGGGGAGGAAGGCGAUAAGGUUAAUAACCUUGUCGAUUGACGUUACCCGCAGAAGAAGCACCGGCUAACUCCGUGCCAGCAGCCGCGGUAAUACGGAGGGUGCAAGCGUUAAUCGGAAUUACUGGGCGUAAAGCGCACGCAGGCGGUCUGUCAAGUCGGAUGUGAAAUCCCCGGGCUCAACCUGGGAACUGCAUUCGAAACUGGCAGGCUAGAGUCUUGUAGAGGGGGGUAGAAUUCCAGGUGUAGCGGUGAAAUGCGUAGAGAUCUGGAGGAAUACCGGUGGCGAAGGCGGCCCCCUGGACAAAGACUGACGCUCAGGUGCGAAAGCGUGGGGAGCAAACAGGAUUAGAAACCCUUGUAGUCC
rnacentral:rRNA from 1 species